GGAUUGAUAGCUUAAGGGUAAAGCAUGUUGCUCAUAACAACAAAGAAGUUGGUUCAAUCCCAUCUCAAUCUA
rnacentral:tRNA from 1 species